AGAAUCAACGCUGGCGGCGUGCCUAACACAUGCAAGUCGCACGAGAAAGGGGAGCAAUCCCUGAGUACAGUGGCGCACGGGUGAGUAACACGUGAAUCAUCUACCUCCGAGUGGGGAAUAACUGAGAGAAAUCUUAGCUAAUACCGCAUAACACUUACGAGUCAAAGCAGCAAUGCGCUUGGAGAGGAGUUCGCGGCAGAUUAGUUAGUUGGCGGGGUAAUGGCCCACCAAGACGAUGAUCUGUAUCCGGCCUGAGAGGGCGCACGGACACACUGGAACUGAAACACGGUCCAGACUCCUACGGGAGGCAGCAGUGGGGAAUUUUGCGCAAUGGGGGAAACCCUGACGCAGCAACGCCGCGUGGAGGAUGAAGCCCCUUGGGGUGUAAACUCCUUUCGAUCGGGAAGAGUAAUGACGGUACCGAUAUAAGAAGCCCCGGCUAACUUCGCGCCAGCAGCCGCGGUAA
rnacentral:rRNA from 1 species